rnacentral:rRNA from 1 species
AACGAACGCUGGCGGCAGGCUUAACACAUGCAAGUCGAGCGCCCCGCAAGGGGAGCGGCAGACGGGUGAGUAACGCGUGGGAACAUACCCUUUCCUGCGGAAUAGCUCCGGGAAACUGGAAUUAAUACCGCAUACGCCCUACGGGGGAAAGAUUUAUGGGGGAAGGAUUGGCCCGCGUUGGAUUAGCUAGUUGGUGGGGUAAAGGCCUACCAAGGCGACGAUCCAUAGCUGGUCUGAGAGGAUGAUCAGCCACAUUGGGACUGAGACACGGCCCAAACUCCUACGGGAGGCAGCAGUGGGGAAUAUUGGACAAUGGGCGCAAGCCUGAUCCAGCCAUGCCGCGUGAGUGAUGAAGGCCUUAGGGUUGUAAAGCUCUUUCACCGGAGAAGAUAAUGACGGUAUCCGGAGAAGAAGCCCCGGCUAACUUCGUGCCAGCAGCCGCAGUAA